UUCCAUACCGUAUGAUGUCACACUCAGCAAUAAAAGGUGGAAGAAGGAAGAAGAGGGGAGGGAUGGGCUCUCGUUGUGAAAACGUCUGUCCUCCUCCUGAACACUGGCUACAUGCGUUGAGGCUGUGCUCCAAGGACGUGGUCAGGCAUGGCUCAUUUGUGGGAAGUAGAGAGUGAUUUCUUUCCUCUGCACUUCCACAUAGCCUUUACUUGUUUUAUUUGUUUGUGUUUCCU